GCUUGUCUCAAAGAUUAAGCCAUGCAUGUCUAAGUGUAAAUAAGUCUAUACUGUGAAACUGCGAAUGGCUCAUUAAAUCAGUUAUCGUUUAUUUGAUGAUCUCUUACUACUUGGAUAACCGUAGUAAUUCUAGAGCUAAUACAUGCACAAAAUCCCGACUUACGAAGGGAUGUAUUUAUUAGAUACAAACCAACAUCGUGGUGAUUCAUAAUAACUUUGCGAAUCGUAUGCCUCACGGCGACGAUGAAUCAUUCAAAUUUCUGACUUAUUAACUUUCGAUGGUAAGGUAGUGGCUUACCAUGGUCGCCAUGAGUAACGGAGGAUCAGGGUUCGAUUCCGGAGAGGGGGCCUGAGAAAUGGCCACCACAUCCAAGGAAGGCAGCAGG
rnacentral:rRNA from 1 species